rnacentral:tmRNA from 1 species
GGGGUUGACCGGUUUUGACAGCAGGAUGACAAGUGUGACUUAGCACGUAGAGGGGAUGUUUGUGGCCUCUUAAAUCUCGGCAAACGCAAAUUGACUGGCAAUAAUAGCUAUGCACUCGCUGCGUAAUCGUUGACAGAAGUCCGAUUCCUUAAUCCGCGUGGCCAAGGCUGCCUCGCCGACGAGUACCCGUUCUGCUCUUUUUCUGUUUUGAGCGUGAACAAUGGGUAUCAAACUAAUAACAGAUAGCCACUAGGCGUCGCCUUGCGUUUUGUGGUAAAGUUUUAGAGGAUUGGCUUUAGAGUUGGUUGUUCUCCACCUGCUUUUUGGCUGAAAAUUAAGCGAGGACUAAACGUGUAGAGGGGUUAUGUUUGCCCUGUUUGGACGAGGGUUCGAUUCCCUCCAACUCCACCA